GGCUGGCGGCGUGCUUACACUUGCAAGUCGAACGAACUUCGGGUUAGUGGCGGACGGGUGAGUAACGCAAUCUGCCCUCAGGAGGGGGACAACAGUUGGAAACGACUGCUAAUACCCCAUAUGCCGCGAGGUGAAAUGAAUUUCGCCUGAGGAUGAGCUCGCGUCUGAUUAGCUAGUUGGUGUAGGUAAUGGCUCACCAAGGCAUCGAUCAGUAGCUGGUCUGAGAGGAUGAUCAGCCACACUGGGACUGAGACACGGCCCAGACUCCUACGGGAGGCAGCAGUGGGGAAUUUUCCGCAAUGGGCGAAAAGCCUGACGGAGCAACGCCGCGUAGAGGGAUGAAGGCCAUCUGGGCUUGUAAACCUCUUUUAUCAAGGAAGAAGAUCUGACCGGGUACCUUUGACUCGAAAUAAAUGAGCAACAGAGCAUUAAAUUUCCCCGUUGCCCAUG
rnacentral:rRNA from 1 species